rnacentral:lncRNA from 1 species
ACAUAUUGGUGCUUUCCUGUUCUGCUUCUAAUAGAGGUUUUUAAACCUCAACUUUAUUACUGAAAAACCCACUGCUGUUAACUAGCAAGAAGAAAAAGAAAAGAUGGCCAUCAGGUGUGUCUUAGGCUAAGAGCAUAAAAACAACAAGAUGAAAGUGACAAUUCCUAGCUCCCUUUGUUCAUUUCAAAUGUACAAAAUUUAGCUAGUCUCUCAAGAAUCAAUAAAGAUGAGGUUAAGUUCUGUGGACUCUUAACUUUGUCAGGUUCACAGCUGGCUGCUACAGGAAGCAGAGAAGGUCGGCAAGUCAAGUGGUUCAGAGCCUGGAGCAGAUAACUCUCCCGUCCUCCCUGAUUUCCACACACUUGAAACAGAUGUCCUGCCAUUGUGCUAGGAGUCAGGCAGCAACAGAGCCACGUGACCCACGGGAAGGCAACUGGCCUAUCUUUUUCCCACAAAGAAGGGUCUAAUUCUCAAUGGAAUCACAAGAGGAACAGAAAUUCACUACCACAGAUCCAACACAGGACUUAGGAGCAAUCACUGCUUGCUGUGGAAAUAAAACUUUAUGGUUUAUGGAAGUUAGAAGUCAAGCACUAUACUGUUCAAAGGUGUACUCAUCAUCAGUUUCACCCCAACUCAGUGAUCAUCUCGUGACUGCCAACCCCAGUUCAGCAUCCAAAGACCCUGCUGGGAAACCCUGCACCCCUGGCCCUGGAGCUAACCCCAGUCUGCCCUCCAGAUCCAUCUCAGGUACCUCCCAAUGACCGUGGAACACCCCACAAUCACCCAUAUCUACAUUCUAUUUCCUUCGGGUUGUGAUGGCAAGAGGAGUAAUGAGGACCUUACAGUAUCUGACUGGUACUCUCCACACUACAGUUUUUAUUUUUUAUUGUUGUUUGGGGUUUUUUUGUUGUUUUUUUUUGUGGGUUUUUUUUUGCAGUGGUAGGGGUUCAAACCAUGGGCCUCAUGCAUGCUAGGCAAAUACUCUACACUGACACCCAUACCCAACUCCCACACCGCAGUUUUCAAAAAAUACUUUUAUAAAAAAACAUGCCUGCUUACUGAAGCCUGAUCUUUAAAAUGAUACAUAAUCCACCGGGGAUGUAGCUCAGUGGUGCCGUGCCUGCCUUACAAGCACAAGCUCCUGAGUUCAAUCCCCGGUACCUCAAAAAAUCCCAUAAUCCUUAUUCUUUAAAAAUCCUUAUUAAGGGCCGGGGAUUUAGCUCAGUGGUUUCACC